AGUGGCGGACGGGUGAGUAACGCGUAAGAAUCUAACUUCAGGACGGGGACAACAGUUGGAAACGACUGCUAAUACCCGAUGUGCCGCAAGGUGAAACCUAAUUGGCCUGGAGAAGAGCUUGCGUCUGAUUAGCUAGUUGGUGGGGUAAAGGCCUACCAAGGCGACGAUCAGUAGCUGGUCUGAGAGGAUGAGCAGCCACACUGGGACUGAGACACGGCCCAGACUCCUACGGGAGGCAGCAGUGGGGAAUUUUCCGCAAUGGGCGAAAGCCUGACGGAGCAACGCCGCGUGAGGGAGGAAGGUCUUUGGAUUGUAAACCUCUUUUCUCAAGGAAGAAGUUCUGACGGUACUUGAGGAAUCAGCCUCGGCUAACUCCGUGCCAGCAGCCGCGGUAAUACGGGGGAGGCAAGCGUUAUCCGGAAUUAUUGGGCGUAAAGCGUCCGCAGGUGGUCAGCCAAGUCUGCCGUCAAAUCAGGUUGCUUAACGACCUAAAGGCGGUGGAAACUGGCAGACUAGAGAGCAGUAGGGGUAGCAGGAAUUCCCAGUGUAGCGGUGAAAUGCGUAGAGAUUGGGAAGAACAUCGGUGGCGAAAGCGUGCUACUGGGCUGUAUCUGACACUCAGGGACGAAAGCUAGGGGAGCGAAAGGGAUUAGAUACCCCUGUAGUCCUAGCCGUAAACGAUGGAUACUAGGCGUGGCUU
rnacentral:rRNA from 1 species